GUAGCGGGCCUGCUCCUUCUCUCCCGGUAUUUACUCGAGGUUUAUGGCGGGAUUAGCUGUGUGGUCUGGAAGCGGCUGUCCUCUUUCAUCCUCACGGGUCUGGAGCCGCCCAGAAGCCUUUUACUUUCCAUCCAGCCCUGGCACCUAGAGGGCAGGCAGUCCCGGCGACUGGAAAGCAUCAGAGCUCGCUCCGCAGGCCUCAGAAGCGCGGUUUCGCCGGCAUGGGGGGAGGUGCUGCUCGCCCCGCAGCGUUCACUCAGCGGGACUAGCCCGCCCCAUCCACAUAGGGUGCACGGUCCUCCCCGCCCCCACUCACGGGCUGGCGAGGGCUGGCGGGGCUCCGGGCGCCCAUUGUGCAGGCAGCUGGCACCAGCUGGGAAGGGAAUUAACAUAACAAAGAGCCGGAGCGAGCGCCGCGCGGCCGGGCGGGGGCUCUGCAGAGCGCCCGGGGCUGGAGGAGCGCGCGGUCGCCGGCUGUCGUGCACCGGGGCAGCAGGCCUCGCGAGGCACAGACAGUGGGUGCAGGCGUAUGUCGGUGACGCCGUGUGCAUGUGCGUGCAUGCGGGUGCGCGCCUGCCUGGGACUGCGUCCCCAGGCCUGGGAUGCUGAUGCCCCUGCCUCAGUUCACCUGCAGAGGUUGGGCACUCACGCGCUCAGCAUCCUAGCGUCCAGAUUGGCCUUCUUUGAAACCACAGUCCUUUUAACUUUCAUCGCCUGUUCUCAGCCGGGUCCACACCUCGGAACUACCAGGGGAACUUUCCCCGGGCCAGGCCUCACUCUAUACUCCAGACCUUUUUGGCUUGGCCUAGGCCUCCAACAGUUGACAGAAGCGUCAGCACUGGUUCUAUCUGUCCCGGGCUGGACACCCCAGGGCGCGCCCUGACCCCGACCAAGGACCAGAGCGAGAGGCCAGGGCCCUACCGGGAGCCCUCGAGUUUGAGGCUUUAGAGCUUGGCCUUCGUCUCCCCUGGCUCAGAGGGUCAAGGACACAUUCCUGCUUAAUGCUUCUGUUGCAAGCUUUCGACUGGACAGCCUCACCUCGCUUAUUGCUAAAAGCCCAUGGGAAGAAAGAUGGGAAAGCUCAACUGAACUAUAGGCAGACAGAUGGAUAGACAGAUAAAAAACAAAUCGCUGUGUUUAGACUACUGCCAGGCCUCCGAGGCCCCUGGAGGUCUCCUGUGGGGACUGUAAAAGGAAGUCAAGGCUCAGCAGGACCCGCAACUCGCAACUCGAAAAGCGGACAGGGCCCAGAUACGCUCGGCCCCUUGCGCUCUACCUCGGUGACCCCCUCUUCGCGUGUCCCGGUCCCCUCCAAAUCCCAUCUUGCCAUGGGGUUUGGACAAAAGGGCGAGCCCUCCAUAGGCCUCUCGCAGCUGUGGCAGCUGGGUGGUCCCUGGAGGGUGAGAAGCAGGCAGAGGAAGCGCUGUGGCGGGAACCUGGGCUCCAGAACCGAUGUGCACCUCAGCGCCUCCGCGGUCACUUGGCUGCACGCUUGCUCCUGGCGGGAGCCAGGCAUCGAUGAACUCUACUGCAGACUGGCUGAGCGUCUCCCCACAGGGAGGAGAGUGAUUGAGAUCAGCCGUCCGGCUAUGUCAUCUCGAAGCUCCGUGUCAUCCACAGGGCCGGGUUCUCAGAAUGUGUUCCCCAUGCCUUCGAACACUUUCAAGGGGGCUUGGGCCCCUGGGGCCACCACCCAGGACCACGUUCCCUCUUUACCGCUGGGAUGUAAGCUCUCGGUGGUUAGUGACUCAGCACAGUUCACUACAGUUCAAGUAGCUAUCCGAUCAAGCAGAGCCCAGAAAAAGCUGGGUGCUAACUUCUGCGGACCUGUUUUACCCAUCCUAAGGUGUCUGACAGUCCUGCAAAGGGAAGAAGGUGGCACCACUGGACCUCAGCCUGAGAAGCACCCUGUUCAAGGUCAGCAGGCAGUCAGGUGACCUGGCUGCUUUGCAGGGACUUGGUAUUGGCUACUGUUGUUGAGUUCAGAAUUCUCACAGGUCCUAACCACUGUGUUUAUUCUCAAUAAAUGGUUUCUUAAUAAUCGUUUUAAUUAGCAAAAAGGCUGUCUUAUUAAAGCUAAUUAAAGGCAAUUUGG
rnacentral:lncRNA from 1 species